UACUACCUCCAUGCUGCUACCUCCACGGCUGCUACUACCACAACUACUACCUCCACUGCUGCUACUACCACAACUACUACCUCCACGGCUGCUACUACCACAACUACUACCUCCACUGCUGCUACUACCACAACUACUACCACCACGGCUGCUACUACCACAACUACUACCUCCACUGCUGCCUGGAGGACAUUAGAUAAUCAUGUGUCCACCUACAUCCAGUCAUAGAUUGAUUGGGAUGGAUUGUUAUGAUUGGCCGGCCACCAGAGAACUUCAGGACAAAGGGAUCUUCAUGGAACUUCAGGAAUAAUGUCUAUAUAACCAGUUCUACUCUCAAUAAACGUAUAAAGGCA